GGCGCUCGAAGCGCGUCGUGGUAUUUCGCGUAUUGUAAUUUCAACACGAGCGGGGUCAAAUCCUUUGCAGACGACUUAGCUGUGCGAAACGGUCCUGUAAGCAGUAGAGUAGCCUUGUUGUUACGAUCUGCUGAGGGUAAGCCGUCCUUCGCCUCGAUUU
rnacentral:rRNA from 1 species